CUUCUUCUCCCUGUCCUCCUGCCAUUCUUUCCCCCUCCCCCUCUGUUUUCUCUGUUUCUCCUCCUCUGUCCUUUCCUUUCCUCCUUUUCUCCCUCUCUUUCCAUGUUUCUCUCCCUCUUUCCUGAUUCUCUUUCCCCUCCCUUCCUCCUUCUCUCCCUCCCUGUCCAUCUUUUCUUCUACCCCCCCCCCACUGUCUCCUUUUAGUCACAGCAGAGGAUAUUCCUUGUCGUCAUGGGCCAGGCAAGUCCCUGAGCAUUUGCAGGGACCAUAGGUCAGCUCACUCACGGGCAGUGUUCUGAGAUGCUGGGACUCUGUACACUUCAACUCACUACUUUUCCAACUAAGCAUCUUUGGAACCCACUCAUCUGCCUGCUCGCUGCAAUCUGGUAAGAUAUCCCUUGAAUUUCCUGCGGGUCAGGCUUAGAAUCCCAUUCCAGGAGUGU
ensembl:lncRNA